CCAACAACAACCGCGUGAUCACCGUAACUACCUCCUCGUAAGUAUCGCAGCCGCGGUAGACUUCUCCCCCACGGCGCGGACUCACCAUGGCCCAUAAAUGCACAGCGCGGACCCCCCUGUAUCUCCCUACCGUGAGUUCUACCCUACUCGUGCUCGAGGACACCAUCGCCGGCCACCACAGCAAAGUGAGGGGAGCUCGGGUUCCGCCGUGGGAGAUUGUGCACUCACCGGUUUACGCCGCGGACUCGUUCGCCGCCGUGGUCAGAGCUUCACCGCAAGCGAUUCGUGGUAAGCACUCCUUCCCCAGCUUCACGUAUGUCUCCACUUUGUAUAUCUACCUCGGGGGAACCUUUUGGGCUCGGAAUCAAGGGUUGGCUGUGUCCGGUGAUGCCGCCGCCGUGGAGACCUUGGUUGCCGCGCGCGCCGCUGUCUUCGGACCGUGGAAGGCGAUGGCCUCCUGGCCGUUGGAUCGACCACUAGCGGGCAGGAUUAUAGCAGAGGUAGGAGGCGCGCCCUAUCUGUUGAUCUGGUCACCAACGGUUGUGAUCGUGCGCUGGUUUAUAUGAAGGGACCGAGGACCGCUCGAUCCACAGCGGACGGUAGAGAUUAGAAGAUAACGUUUUGAUACAUCGCCAACCUAAUUUGGGCCGUGCGACGUGGAUCCAACGACUCUGGGUGUUUCAUACCCCUUCGCGCAUGUCAAGUUGCAAAAGAACCCCUGGAACCUUUAUAAAUCAACCUGCGGUCCACUGCGGGGUUGGACUGAGUCUAUGGAAUUUUAUACGUUAGCCCCUAGUCUUUCGCAAAAUAGUACCCCAGUCCAGAGCCUUCGGAAAAAUUCAGAAUUAAAUCAGAAAUUGAUUUUUAGUGUAAAAAUAAAUCUAGAAACUUGUUUAAUUCAUAUUAAAACCAUUUUACCUCCAAAUUGAUCUGUUCCAGUUGCUAUAAAUUCAUAUUAAUAUUGCUUAUCCCUUGAUAACUUUAUUUGCUAUGAAACUUAAAUUGGAGUUAUGCACUUGAUUUCUUUUGUACCCUACUCCUAAACCUUUAGAAAAUCAUAUCUUCUAAACUGUAGCUUUGAAUUUAGUGAUUCUUGUUCCUACGAUCUCGUAACGACGAGUAGACAAUUAUUAUGCAGUUUAUGCUUAUGUUCGGUGUGAUGUUAAUUUUGCAUAUACUAUGUUUGUUUGUAUUGCUACGAAUAGCAGUGAGGUCACGAGAAUCUGAAGAUCAUCCUGGUACCUGGAAUCUCAAGUCCCAGGCAAGUUGUGCCCUUGAUCACUUCUUUUACCUACUCAUGUUCUAAUUAAUCAUAAUGAUCUGCAUAGGUUAAUUUUGAUGGGACCCAAUAGGUUACCCUAGAUUGUUUAUCUCAUUACCUUGUUUACCCCUGAAUCACUUGGGUAGUUUGCUAUUGCUUUACAUGGAUUUGGGAUAAUUAUUUAUCAUAUCUAUGUUCCAAUUAUUUUGUUAUUCUAUUUAUGUUCAUGUCAAGAUCAUUAAUGUUAAUUGGAACAUAGAGCUUAACUUGAGAAACACGUGCCACCACAAGGGUUUAUGGACGCCCUUGGCUGAUUAAUUAGGAAAGCUAGUGGAGGACUACCUUACCCGAAAGGGGCAAGGGCAGUAGGGGAGUGGUCAGUGUAGGGAGGUCCUUGCUUGAUUUUGCUGCGAUGGCGGUCAGGCAAGAACCCUGCAUUGGAGCUUCCUAUAAACUGUAGCGGGUUUUCUGAAGCUAGUGGAACUUUGUAAAGGCCUCGUAGUGUUACCCUGCCUCGCCUCCUCGGUAGAGGUGUAUGGGAAGUCGCGAUCCCUUGGCAGAUGGGUAACAUGACUUGUGAGUAAAGGGUACCACCUCUGCAGAGUGUAAAACUGGUAUACUAGCCGAGCUCACGGUCACGAGCAGCUCAGGACUCUCUGAUGAUUAACUUAUGGAACUAAAUUCAAUUUGUCAUAUGCAUUGCAUCGCAGGUGAUGUUGUUACUUUUGUUCUACUACUUAAUUGGGUCGGUAUUUACUUAUACUUAGUAAAUGCUAAUAAAAUUUUGACCAACUUUAAAAGCAAUGCUCAGCUCUAACCAUCCUCUUUGGUAAGCCAUACACUUCACGUGAGCUCCCACCUUUGGCGAGUUCAUGCACAUUAUUCCCCACAACUUGUUGAGCGAUGAACGUAUGUGAGCUCACUCUUGCUGUCUCACACCCCCCACAGGUCAAGAACAGGUACCACGGGAUGAGGCGCAUGGAGGAUGCUGCGAUGAGUUCGUGAGAGAUCUAGGCCGUCGUCUCCCAGUCAACUUUGGGUUGCUGCACCGUUGUCUCCAUAUAAUGUAAUUAUUUAUUUAUUUUGUACAGAACUCGUACUAUAUAGUAAAGAUGUGACAUUCGAUCCUGUGCCAUGAUUCAUCAUAUGUGUGAGACUUGGUCCCAGCACACCUGGUGAUUAUGUUCGCGCCCGGGUCUUUGGACCCCUAAAACCCGGGUGUGACAGUUUGCAAUGCUACAAUUUC
rnacentral:lncRNA from 1 species